UGCGAGGUGGUGGAACUGGUACCACGCCCGGCCCUGAACCAGGAGGUCCGCGUUCGAACCGUGGCCUCGCAG
rnacentral:tRNA from 1 species